CUCGAUUAAUUGCAAAGGCCUGAAUAAUCCAGCUAAGAGGCACCGGGUCCUCAGAUGGGCCAACAGGACUGGGGCGGAUGUCAUCCUUCUCCAGGAAACACAUUUUGAGCAUACUAGGGCCUUCCCUUUGCGCAAUAGACAUUAUACAGUCUGUCAUUUAGCGAACUCACCCUCGGGUAAACAGAAUGGGGUAGCCAUUCUGGUCCGUAAGACCUGCCCUAUUC